UGGGGAAUAUUGCACAAUGGGCGCAAGCCUGAUGCAGCCAUGCCGCGUGUGUGAAGAAGGCCUCGGGUUGUAAAGCACUUUCAGCGAGGAGGAAGGUGGUGAGCUUAAUACGCUCAUCAAUUGACGUUACUCGCAGAAGAAGCACCGGCUAACUUCGUGCCAGCAGCCGCGGUAAUACGGAGGGUGCAAGCGUUAAUCGGAAUUACUGGGCGUAAAGCGCACGCAGGCGGUUUGUUAAGUCAGAUGUGAAAUCCCCGGGCUCAACCUGGGAACUGCAUUUGAAACUGGCAAGCUAGAGUCUCGUAGAGGGGGGUAGAAUUCCAGGUGUAGCGGUGAAAUGCGUAGAGAUCUGGAGGAAUACCGGUGGCGAAGGCGGCCCCCUGGACGAAGACUGACGCUCAGGUGCGAAAGCGUGGGGCAGCAAACAGGAUUAGAUACCCUGGUAGUCCACGCUGUAAACGAUGUCGAUUUUGGAGGUUGUGCCCUUGAGGCGUGGCUUCCGGAGCUAACGCGUUAAAUCGACCGCCUGGGGAGUACGGCCGCAAGGUU
rnacentral:rRNA from 1 species